rnacentral:lncRNA from 1 species
AAAGAAAGAAAGAAAGAAAGAAAGAAAGAAAGAAAGAAAGAAAGAAAGAAAGAAAGAAAGAAAGGUGUUUGGAGGGUUUCCUCCAUACUUCACCAUGGCCCUCAGAGGGAAGCCGAGUACCUGGACCCCUGGAGGAAUGCCUCCAGCCGGCACAGUGACACUGUGGGUGUCUUUACAGACAUUCUGCUUGCAAUAGUUUGAAACUGCAGUCUCCAGAGAGACCUUAGUCCUCUGCUGGCCUCCAACAUGAGUGGCUGAACUGUGCAUAUGCCGUCUCUUUUAAUUCUAGCCUCCAAGUAAGUGUGAAGGAGUAUGUCGUUUUCGUUUCGACUGUGGAGGUCAGAGGACAGCUUUCCGGAAUCCUUUCUCAUGUUCUACCCUGACUCAGGUUCGGAUUCAGGACACCAGGUUUGAGCAGCAGUUAUCACUACCUGAUGAGUCCCUCAUCUUUCACUUUUGCAUCUUAUUUCCACGUGGGCAGUCAACACUUAGUGAAGAUCUGUUUCCCUUCUAUCUUCCCAGAAUGCCCUUCCCCAGACCCGGAUCCUCUAGAAUAGUCACAGAGCUGAGUUGGGUUUUAACCCCAUACAACAUGAGCGCUCCUCUCUCCUCGCUGAGCUCUGAGUACCAGCUGAACUAGGUACUCCGACGCAACGCAUGCGCAGGGAAGUGCCACGCUGUUAUUUCUCUCACAUCCACGAGGGGUCGCACAACGCCUUCCAGAGUUCGCCCCAAGAACCUGCGCCUUAGUAAAUCCCUUCCCUCCGGAACCUCCCAUCUCUCCCAACACCACCUUCGGGUUUAAAGUUCCAGAGCUGUAUUCCUGGUUGUCCCAGAAACCUAUCCGUGCAGCCGCUUGGCGUGAUUUAACUGAGCUAUGGGAAGCAUGCAGUCUGACUCCUUCAUUCAGUACCCUAUACUGUGCUUUCCUCGUCAGCAAAAUGAUAAUCCCCACUGCGCUGAGCGCUAUCCAAGAGAGUGGGGAGCCUCAUCUCAUUUUGAGCAUGGUGUCCAGCACAUUCCAGGAGCCCGGUAUACCCCAGGGGCAGCAAGGUUUCCUGAGUGAGAUCUCUAUAAUGGAGGCAGACUUCAGGCCCUCAAGUCAGACGGGUCCGGCUCAUGAAACUCUACCCCCAGCCCACCAAUUCUCUUCCCCAGGGCUCCGAAGAUUUCUUCUGUAGUGGACCAAGAAGUCAUGUCCUGAAGCUCUGUGAGCCGGGCAACCAUCACGACGCGAAUGCAACCCAAGGCCAGCGAUAAGCUCAACCCACUGCAGGAGUCUGCAAAUGAAUAAAAAUCAGACGUGGUGGGAGAAUCCUGUAAGGGUGGCACUCAAGAGAUGGAGGCUGCCAGGCCUUUAGGUGGAUCUCUGUGAGUUCGAAGUCAGCCUGGUCUACAGAGCGAGUUCCAGGACAGCCAGGGCUACACAGAGGAACCCUGUCUCAAAAAACAAACAAACAAACAAACAAACAAACAAACUCAGCCAACCAACCAACCAAAACAAAACAAAACACAAACACAAAAGAGAUGGAGGGAAGAGGAUUAGAAGUUUAUACGCUUAGCUGUAUAGCACGACCUUGUUUUUUUUCUCUCUCUCUCUCUCUCUCUCUCUAGCUCAUGCUGGGUUAGUACUCUGUAGCCCAAGGUGGCCUUGAACAUGUGACCAUCUUCCUCUUUUACCUUCCUGAGAGAUGGGACCCAUGAACCUUCAUGGCUGACUUCCUCUCUCUCUCUCUCUCUCUCUCCCUCCCUCCCUCCCUCUCUCUCUCUCUUUCUUCUUUUAAAAUGUGCAUCAGUGUUUUUCCUGCUUGUAUGUCUCUAAGUGAAGGUGUCAGAUCUUGGAGUUAUAGACAAGACAGUGGUGAGUUGCCAUGUGGUUGCUGGGAAUUGAACCUGGGUCCUCUGGAAGAGCAGUCAGUGCUCUCAACCACUGAGCCAUCUCUCCAGCCUCUUUCUUUUCUUACAACAGGGUCUAACAUACU